GAUGAAGAACGUAGUGAAAUGCGAUAAGUAAUGUGAAUUGCAGAAUUCAGUGAAUCAUCGAAUCUUUGAACGCACAUUGCGCCCGCCAGUAUUCUGGCGGGCAUGCCUGUUCGAGCGUCAUUUCAACCAUCAAGCCCCAGGCUUGUGUUGGGGACCUGCGGCUGCCGCAGGCCCUGAAAACCAGUGGCGGGCUCGCUGUCACACCGGGCGUAGUAGAUUUUAUCUCGCUCAGGGCGUGCUGCGGGUUCCGGCCGUUAAAAAGCCUUUUUUACCCAAGGUUGACCUCGGAUCAGGUAGGAAGACCCGCUGAACUUAAGCAUAUCAUAAGCGGAG
rnacentral:misc_RNA from 1 species